UCGGCGGUGGCUUCAUCGGGCUCGAGGUGGCUUCAUCGGCGGUGAAGCUCGGCAAGCAGGUGACGGUGAUCGAGGCCGCGCCCCGGUUGCUGGA
rnacentral:tRNA from 1 species